rnacentral:rRNA from 1 species
UACGUAGGUGGCAAGCGUUGUCCGGAUUUACUGGGCGUAAAGCGAACGCAGGCGGACCUUUAAGUAGGAAGUGAAAGGUUGGAGCUCAACUCUAACACUGCUCCCUAUACUGGAGGUCUUGAGUAGCGGAGAGGAAAACGGAACAAGUUUGUGUAGCGGUGAAAUGCGUUUGAUAUAAACUUGGAACACCAAUGGCGAAAGCAGUUUUCUGGACGCAGACUGACGCUGAGGUUCGAAAGCCAAGGUAGCAAACAGG